UUUUGAAGUCAUGUACUGCGUUUAUGUUGUGAGCAGAUGGGCUCGGAACGUUUGCCUGCCGCUCUCGCUGUUCCGGGGACCAGGAAAAAGUCAGCACCAGCUUCCGCUUUGUUCAGCGGGAGUCCGAAAGGAAACUGGACUCCCCGUGUCCUCACUGCUCCUCCUCUGCCUGCUAAAUACAGAGGAUUUUCAGAUUUCAAAUUUCAAAGUGGGGCCCCUGGAACACUUCAGCUUGGGAAUGGCUGCUCUGUAGCAAACACACACAAGCAUGCAAAGAAGAGGAAGGUAAAAUCGGAGUCCGAGCAUCCUGCGGCCUCUGGUGAUCAUGAACUAUUAGAAUGUCGGAGGGAAAAGGCUCCAGGCUGAGGAAGAACCCGCUCAUCACCUGCGUUAAACACGAGGCCUUGUGCUCCUCUGUCUCUUUGAAGGCGUGUAGAGUGAUGCAGGUUCUGCUGCUGUCGCCCCACUUGUGGAACAGCGUUCUCACCCGGAACCGCUCGUGCCCGUCCUCAUCCCUCUCUCUCUCCACAUGCUCUGAGAGGAGGGAGGCAGACAGCGACGGAGAGGCAGGGAGAACAACCUCUGAUAUCAGCUGUCGGAGGAGAAGCAAAGGGACCCAAGAACACGACAACAAACCUCACCUGUCCUUUUCCACUCACCUGUGUCACUGAGUGAGGGCCAAAUGAAGCUUGCAGGCGUGGCUUGGGCCCCCAGACGGGUGGAGGCACCAUGAAGAGGCUCUGUGAGAAAGAGAAGGGGCUGGAGUUGGAGAAGAUGGGACCGAGCUCUUCCUGAGAGAGGGGAAGAAACUGCCAGGGAGGAGGAACGACGGACAUGUGGACGGGCAGCGAGAGGGGGAGAGUGGGCUGCAGGAGGGAUGGAGGGACUGUGGAAAAGAGGAAGAGAGUGAACGCACUAGGUUUCUCUAGGUUUUGAAAGUGUAUCACAACAUUUAUAGUUUUUUUUUUUACUUAAAAGAUGCUGUAAGAAAAGAAAAUCCUUAACUACUCCCUCUCCCACACCAAAAUCCAUAAAGAAAUGUAGCUAUUUUAGCUUGUAGGGACACGGGAGCUGCUGGUGCCUCGUGUGGUCACUUUCUGUCACUGAGGUGAAUCUGAACUAAGGAUUUCAAACAACAAAGUCACAAAAUAACUUAAAAUCACUGAUAUUCUCUAUGGGCUUUGGUGUGGGAGAGGCUUUAGUUCUGGAACUGAUGCCCGGAACUGAAGGUCAACCAAGUAAAAAUAAAGUUAGCACAAAAUCUA